rnacentral:rRNA from 1 species
GUGGGGAAUAUUGGACAAUGGGCGAAAGCCUGAUCCAGCCAUGCCGCGUGUGUGAAGAAGGUCUUCGGAUUGUAAAGCACUUUAAGUUGGGAGGAAGGGCAGUAAGUUAAUACCUUGCUGUUUUGACGUUACCGACAGAAUAAGCACCGGCUAACUUCGUGCCAGCAGCCGCGGUAAUACGAAGGGUGCAAGCGUUAAUCGGAAUUACUGGGCGUAAAGCGCGCGUAGGUGGUUUUGUAAGUUGGAGGUGAAAUCCCCGGGCUCAACCUGGGAACUGCCUCCAAAACUUCAUGACUAGAGUACGGUAGAGGGUAGUGGAAUUUCCUGUGUAGCGGUGAAAUGCGUAGAUAUAGGAAGGAACACCAGUGGCGAAGGCGACUACCUGGACUGAUACUGACACUGAGGUGCGAAAGCGUGGGGAGCAAACAGGAUUAGAUACCCUAGUAGUCC